UACGUUCUGUGAGCGUUAGCUCGGCGCGUUAGCCUAGGCUAUACGUAUUGAGAGCGUUAGCUCCGCACGUUAGCCUCUGCGCGGUAGCCUGUCGCUCCACGCAGUCUACGAUGAUAACAGCGGGGUUCAGUUGGACCGUGUCCCCGGCUUACCGAAUUCAAGAUAGGAUGUUUCUUUGUGUUAACUAAUCAAACGCGAGUGGCCACGUUUAUUAAACGUGUAUUAUAUCUAUCGCGAAAAGAUUCAGAAGAUAGAUGUUUUGUAUACAAAAACAUGAACAGAUGGUAAACAUUACACAUUUUUGCAUUCUUUUGAUCUGUGCCAUUGACGCAGUCGUUUUAUAAUGUCUCUCAUUGACAAAUGCACCUACACCGUGUUGAAAUCGGAUGUAAACACUGGUACACACUGAACAAGGUACAAUACAAAUCAAACACCAAUGUUCAGCAUUGUGUGCAGCAUGCGUCGUAUCAUAGGCAGUCCUGUAGCUGUCACAUCGUUUUACAGUCAUCUCCUGAAUCUGUACAAUAUAGUUAAUCCAUACAGCCCAUAGGCUACUCCCUAGGGGGGGAAGAAGCUGUCACUUAACUAUCAGGGAAAUAUCCGUCAAAUUGUCCCCUCAGUCACAGAGAGCACAGCCACUCAAUAGCUUUAUAUGUAAUAUCAAAUGUCAAUAUCGAUUGACUUCAGAUUGAUUUGGUUGUUUAUUUCAAUACUAAAAUGUAUUUGUGUGUUCAUGCCUAUGCCUGUUUAGUUUGGACUGCUUUUAUGCCCUAUCACAAAUCUGUAUAUAUUAUCUGUAUAUAUUAUAUAUAUAUAUAUAUAUAUAUAUAUAUAUAUAUAUAUAUAUAUAUAGGCCUAUAUAUAUAUAUAUAGGCCUAUAUAUAUUAUAUAAAUGCUUCAGAAAUGUUAUGGGGUCAAAACCCUUCAGGGAUGUAGGUCACUGUUGUCACUUUUGGGUCAGGGGGACUUGAUGCUAUGGUUUUACAAAGUAGCCUACCCUGAGUAGGUUCUGUUUUAACAGAUACUCUCAAAGACUGAGUAAGUUAUGCUCUGACUAACCCCACAACUAUUAACUUCCCUUGCGCAUUCAUAUUUUAAUAUAAAAAAAAAAGAAAGUUCCUGGUUUCAGGAAAAUUCUUAUUUAUAUUUCGCUGCAAAACCAACAGUUCCCGUCUCACCAUGCCUGACCCCUGUUUCUGAGAAAAACCUCAGGGUCCUAUUGUUGACGUGUUGGGCUCCCACAGCCACAAUAGCACGUCUUGAGAGAUCGAGAGUAACGAAUGAUUUUUUAUCAAUUCAGGACCUAACAACAAAGAGCUGUUGUAAGCGCCACUCGCCCACCGCACGUAUAAUGAUCGUUAUUCCACAUGUUUUUCCUUUUCCACUGAACUCCGAGCCAACAGGUUAUUAAGAACCCCACACUGGAGCUAUCGUCGCCGAUCCUGCUAAGCCGAUGGGCUGCUGGGGCCAAUUAGCAACCUCGUUCUAACCUCGCAGGCUCGCACCCUCCGGUGGAAAUGCGCCAUAAGUGGACGGGAUCUGGGAAUCGAACACGCUAUCAUUUUUGCAUGAUGACGAACAGAGGAAACACUUGCGUUUGGCCAGCCACCUUCUCAGCCUUGGCGACAGCGUUGAACAUGUUUGUUUAAUAACCGUGAAAGUUGAAGCUGACGGACAGAUUUACCUACCUGCUUCCAUAACAGCCUCGCAGUCUGCGUUUAAAUUGUGGAGCUCAAGUGUUUCUCAUUUCUCACUCUUGACAUUAUUUGUAUUUCAAACUAAUUUCUUGUUCUGGUUGUGUUCUGUCCCUUGUUGAGCACUUUGGUGUAUCUGUUUUGUAUGCUCUGUGUAAUUAAAGUGGGAUUGAUGGAUUGCA